rnacentral:rRNA from 1 species
UACGAAGGGGGCUAGCGUUGCUCGGAAUCACUGGGCGUAAAGGGUGCGUAGGCGGGUUUUUAAGUCAGGGGUGAAAUCCUGGAGCUCAACUCCAGAACUGCCUUUGAUACUGAAGAUCUUGAGUCCGGGAGAGGUGAGUGGAACUGCGAGUGUAGAGGUGAAAUUCGUAGAUAUUCGCAAGAACACCAGUGGCGAAGGCGGCUCACUGGCCCGGUACUGACGCUGAGGUGCGAAAGCGUGGGGAGCAAACAGGGAUUAAGAA